CAGCCGCGGGAAUACGAAGGGUGCAAGCGUUAAUCGGAAUUACUGGGCGUAAAGCGUGCGUAGGCGGUGAGUUAAGUCUGCUGUGAAAUCCCCGGGCUCAACCUGGGAAUGGCAGUGGAUACUGGCUCGCUAGAGUGUGUCAGAGGAUGGUGGAAUUCCCGGUGUAGCGGUGAAAUGCGUAGAGAUCGGGAGGAACAUCAGUGGCGAAGGCGGCCAUCUGGGACAACACUGACGCUGAGGCACGAAAGCGUGGGGAGCAAACAGGAUUAGAGACCCCGGUAGUCCCUGUCUCUUAUACACA
rnacentral:rRNA from 1 species